AGUCACCAGCGGAACCCUCUCCACCAGGCUCCGCGUCGAGGCCCUACGGGGCGUCAAUACGCACGCGUACUUUGUGUCCCAGCUCUGCAUUUCCAGGACCUGGUCACUAUUCAGGACACGGUUCCAGCGCAGUGCGCGUUAGCCAUGUCUCAGGGAUGAGUGACAUUCCAAGAUGUGGCCAUUGACUUCUCCAAGGAAGAGUGGGGAUUCCUGAACCCUGCUCAGAGAGAUUUGUACACAACUGUGAUGCUGGAGAAUUAUCAGAACCUGGUCUGGCUGGGACUUUCCAUUUCUAAAUCUGUGAUUUCACUGUUGGAGAAAAGGAAACUGCCUUGGAUAAUGGCAAAAGAAGAGAUAAGAGGCCCAUUGCCAGGAUAUUUCAAGGUGUCAGAGAUGACCAUCUCCCAGGAGCCAAAGGCAAAGACUAGAACUCUCUUUGGAAAAGAUGUGCCAGGUGCAGAGAUUAAGGAGUUAUCUGCAAAGAGGGCUAUUAAUGAAGUAUUAUCGCAGUUUGACACAGUGAUAAAAUGUACAAGAAACGUAUGUAAGGAAUGUGGAAAUCUAUACUGCCACAAUAUGCAGCUUACUCUCCAUAAGAGAAAUCAUACACAAAAGAAAUGCAAUCAGUGUUUAGAUUGUGGGAAAUACUUCACUCGUCAAUCAACUCUCAUUCAGCAUCAAAGAAUCCACACGGGAGAGAGACCCUAUAAAUGUAACGAAUGUAUUAAAACCUUCAACCAGAGGGCACACCUUACCUAGCAUGAGAGAAUUCACACUGGUGAGAAACCUUACAAAUGUAAGGAAUGCAGGAAAACCUUCAGCCAGAUGACUCAUCUCACACAGCAUCAGACUACACAUACGAGAGAAAAGUUCCAUGAAUGCAGUGAAUGUGGAAAGGCCUUCAGCCGUGUCUCAGCUCUUAUAGAUCACCAGCGAAUUCAUAGU
ensembl:lncRNA ZNF542P zinc finger protein 542, pseudogene